AGGUUAAGUUAGUAAGGGCGCACGGUGGAUGCCUUGGCACUAGGAGCCGAAGAAGGACGUGACAAACGACGAAAUGCCUUGGGGAGCUGUAAGUAAGCGUAGAUCCAGGGAUAUCCGAAUGGGGGAACCCAGCAGGUACUACCUGUUACCCAUCUCUGUUAAGGAGAUGAGGAGGAAGACGCAGUGAACUGAAACAUCUAAGUAGCUGCAGGAAGAGAAAGCAAAAGCGAUUGCCUGAGUAGCGGCGAGCGAAAGGGCAAGAGGGCAAACCGAGAAGUUUACUUCUCGGGGUUGUAGGACUGCGAUGUGGACUUAAAGAUUAUAGAAGAAAACCUUGGGAAAGGUUGCCAGAGAGAGUAAGAGCCUCGUAUUUUAAAUAGUCUUUAUACCUAGCAGGAUCCUGAGUACGGCGGGACACGAGGAAUCCCGUCGGAAUCUGGGAGGACCAUCUCCCAACCCUAAAUACUCCCUAGUGACCGAUAGUGAACCAGUACCGUGAGGGAAAGGUGAAAAGCACCCCGGGAGGGGAGUGAAAGAGAACCUGAAACCGUGUGCCUACAACAAGUUCGAGCCCGUUAAUGGGUGAGAGCGUGCCUUUUGUAGAAUGAAACCGGCGAGUUACGUUAUGAUGCGAGGUUAAGUUGAAGAGACGGAGCCGUAGGGAAACCGAGUCUGAAGAGGGCGCCAUAGUAUCAUGACGUAGACCCGAAAACCAUGUGACCUACCCAUGAGCAGGUUGAAGGUGAGGUAAAACUCACUGGAGGACCGCACCAGGGCACGUUGAAAAGUGCUUGGAUGACUUGUGGGUAGCGGAGAAAUUCCAAACGAACUUGGAGAUAGCUGGUUCUCUCCGAAAUAGCUUUAGGGCUAGCGUCGACAGAAAGAUUCUUGGAGGUAGAGCACUGUUUGGGUGAGGGGUCCAUCCCGGAUUACCAAUCUCAGAUAAACUCCGAAUGCCAAAGAAUUAUGGUCGGCAGUCAGACUGCGAGUGCUAAGAUCCGUAGUCGAAAGGGAAACAGCCCAGACCACCAGCUAAGGUCCCAAAAUAAUUGUUAAGUGGAAAAGGAUGUGGGGUGCACAGACAACUAGGAUGUUAGCUUAGAAGCAGCUAUUCAUUCAAAGAGUGCGUAAUAGCUCACUAGUCGAGUGACCCUGCGCCGAAAAAUGUACCGGGGCUAAAACAAUUUACCGAAGCUGUGGAUCCUUUAGGGGAUGGUAGGAGAGCGUUCUAUGUGUGGUGAAGGUGUACCGUGAGGAGCGCUGGAACGCAUAGAAAGUGAGAAUGCCGGUAUGAGUAGCGCAAGACAGGUGAGAAUCCUGUCCACCGUAAGACUAAGGUUUCCAGGGGAAGGCUCGUCCGCCUGGGUUAGUCGGGACCUAAGGAGAGACCGAAAGGUGUAUCCGAUGGCCAACAGGUAGAGAUUCCUGUACUAGAGUAUAGAGUGAAGGAGGGACGCAGUAGGCUAACUCAAGCCGUGCGAAUGGAAGAGCACGUCUAAGCAGUGAGGUGUGAUAGGAGUCAAAUGCUUUCUAUCUGUAACAUUGAGCUGUGAUGGGGAGCGAAGUUUAGUAGCGAAGUGAGUGACGUCACACUUGCCAGAAAAGCUUCUAAGCGUUAAUUUAUACUCUACCCGUAACCGCAAACCGACACAGGUAGUCGAGGGCGAGUAGCCCUCAGGUGAUCGAGAGAACCUCUCGUAAGGAACUCGCAAAAUGACCCCGUAACUUCCGGGAGAAGGGGUGGCUCAGUGUAACCUGAGCCGCAGUGAAUAGGCCCAAGCAACUGUUUAUCAAAAACACAGCUCUCUGCUAAAUCGUAAGAUGAUGUAUAGGGGGUGACGCCUGCCGGUGGCUGGAAGGUUUAAGAGGAGUGCUUAGACGUAAGUCGAAGGUAUGAAUUGAAGCCCAGUAAACGGCGGCCGUAACUAUAACGGUCCUAAGGUAGCGAAAUUCCUUGUCGGGGUAAGUUUCCGACCGCACGAAAGGCGUAAUGAUUUGGGCACUGUCUCAACGAGAGACUCGGUGAAAUUUUAGUACCUGUGAAGGAUGCAGGGUUACCCGCGACAGGACGGAAAGACCCAUGGAGCUUUACUGCAGUUUUGAUAUUGAGUGUCCCUGUGCCACAUGUGACAGGAUAGGUAGGAGCCCAAAGGAGAUCGGGGACGCCAGUUUCGAUGGAGGCGAUGUUGGGAUACUACCCCUUGUGUUAUGGCCACUCUAACCCCGGAUAGGUAAUCCCCUAUCGGAGACAGUGUCUGACGGGCAGUUUGGACUGGGGCGGGUCGCCUCCUAAAGG
rnacentral:rRNA from 1 species